rnacentral:rRNA from 1 species
GAUGAACGCUGGCGGCGUGCCUAAUACAUGCAAGUCGAGCGAACAGAUGAGGAGCUUGCUCCUCUGACGUUAGCGGCAGACGGGUGAGUAACACGUGGAUAACCUACCUAUAAGACUGGGAUAACUUCGGGAAACCGGAGCUAAUACCGGAUAAUAUAUUGAACCGCAUGGUUCAAUAGUGAAAGACGGUUUUGCUGUCACUUAUAGAUGGAUCCGCGCCGCAUUAGCUAGUUGGUAAGGUAACGGCUUACCAAGGCAACGAUGCGUAGCCGACCUGAGAGGGUGAUCGGCCACACUGGAACUGAGACACGGUCCAGACUCCUACGGGAGGCAGCAGUAGGGAAUCUUCCGCAAUGGGCGAAAGCCUGACGGAGCAACGCCGCGUGAGUGAUGAAGGUCUUCGGAUCGUAAAACUCUGUUAUUAGGGAAGAACAAAUGUGUAAGUAACUAUGCACGUCUUGACGGUACCUAAUCAGAAAGCCACGGCUAACUACGUG